CCUUCGGGGUUGUAAACCGCUUUUGUUCAGGGAAGAAAACGUUCUCCGAGUUAAUACCUUGGGAUGAUGACGGUACCUGAAGAAUAAGCACCCGGCUAACUACGUGU
rnacentral:rRNA from 1 species